GACCUCCAAUCUAGGAUGUUUAUUUUUGCCAUAAAUCCCCAUAUAUUCUUUGCAUUUUCAUAUGGCACCUGUACUUGGCAAUAACCAGAUAAAGUGCAGAGUGUGUAAACCUUCAUGAGUUGUUCUAGAACUCCACGUGAAUGAGUUCACUAAAACACACACGCACUCACACGAAACAGGAAAACACUCACAGAGAGCAGCUAUUACUCCAAGGGUAUUCCAUGGUUACUUAUCUUGUACAUCACACACCUUUAAAAGGAGCAAUCCUUAUCCCCCAAAACGAGGGUAGCAGUUUUGCCAUCGACACCGCCUUUAUUAAGUAAACGUGAUUCAAGACCCCCGAGUUGCUGGGGGAAGGGAGAGUCUUGCGCUGGGGCAGGGUGAAAGUUCAGCGCUAUCCGGGAGAGGGGGCGUGAACACCCACCUCCGGCCACUCCCACUCCCCACCAGAUCUUCUGAUUUUUACUGCCGAGUUCCUUCCAAAGGUCACUAAUGCGGAGUGGGGUACUCCUUUUGCUCAAUGACCCUCUGGAAAACACCCAGCUACAAAAAGCACAACAGAACCUCCAACGCCCAGCAAACACACAGAGGAAGAAAGGGCAGCGACAGGAAUUUGAUGGAAACAAGACGUCCCGGCCUGUCGCCCUGGCCUGAUUAAGGGGUGUCCCGCCCAUCAUUCCUCUCUCCCUCUCCGGCUACCUUUUGUGCACAACACAGCUCUUAAAAAAGAAGUUUAGGCUUGAAUGGUGGUGGGAACGCACAGGAUGCAAUGCCCUAGGGUUAAUUGCUGGGCAGUCGCUUUUUGAGAUGUGUUACUCCCAGGUGGAGGUCGUCCGACUGCAUCAGUCAUCCCAGGGUGUCCUGAAAAGAGUUCUUGAGAUUUCUUGUAAAAAAUUAAAAAAAACCAAAACCGUAAAGUUAGCUUUUCCAGUGGGCCAGGCAUUCCUCAGCACCUGCAGGAGGU